rnacentral:rRNA from 1 species
GACGAACGCUGGCGGCGUGCUUAACACAUGCAAGUCGAACGGUGAAGCGCCUUCCUUUUUGGUGGGUGUGGAUGAGUGGCGAACGGGUGAGUAACACGUGAGUAACCUGCCCCCUUCUGCUGGAUAACCGCAUGCAAGUGUGGCUAAUACGGGAUAUUCUGGGUCUGUCGCAUGAUGGGUCUGGGACAGAUUUUGUUUCGGUUGGGGAUGGGCUCGCGGCCUAUCAGCUUGUUGGUGGGGUGACGGCCUACCAAGGCGGUGACGAGUAGCCGGCCUGAGAGGGUCGACCGUCACAGUAGGGAGGCGAGGCGGACCAGCCUCCUGCGGGAAGCAGCAGUGGAGAAUAUUGCACAGUGGGAGGAAGGCUGAUGCAGCGACGCGGCGUGGGGGAUGGAGGCCGUCGGGUUGUGAACCGCUUUCGCCAGUGAAGCAGGCCUGCCUCGUUUGUGGGUGGGUUGACGGUAGCUGGAUAGGAAGCGCCGGCUAACUACGUG